rnacentral:rRNA from 1 species
UACGGAGGGUGCGAGCGUUAAUCGGAAUUACUGGGCGUAAAGGGCGCGCAGGCGGGCUUUUAAGUGAGAUGUGAAAUCCCCGGGCUUAACCUGGGAAUAGCAUUUGAGACUGGGGGUCUAGAGUACGUUAGGGGGGGUUAGAAUUCCAGGUGUAGCGGUGAAAUGCGUAGAGAUGUGGAGGAAUACCGAAGGCGAAGGCAGCCCCCUGGGAUAGUACUGACGCUGAGGUGCGAAAGCGUGGGGAGCAAACAGG